GUCUCAGUGGCGCAAUGGUAGCGCGUUGGACUUCUACCAGUAACUGUCUUGCUGUCGGCAAUCCAAAGGCUGCGGGUUCGAGCCCCGCCUGAGAUG